GGUUGCUCGACAGAAAUAGGUUUACUGGUACUAUUCCAGUAACAUUAGGACUUAUUAAGACUCUUGAGGUUCUUCGGCUUGAUACAAACGCUAUGGCUGGAUGUGUCCCCUCAAAUCUUAACUACCUUACGAAUGUCAAUGAAUUAAAUUUCGCGCACAACUACUUGUCAGGCCCUCUACCUGACUUAAGUGGAAUGAAUUCCCUCAAAUAUGUAUGAGUAGAAGACAUGGAGCUAUCAUUUCUAGUUCCAAUACUCCUGCAAAUUGUUUGUUUUUCUGUUGUACUGACAAAUCCUAAUGUUUUACUCUCAGAGACCUUAGCAACAACUCAUUUGACCCAUCAGAAGCUCCACUUUGGUUCUGAACCUUACCCUCACUCACCACUUUAGCCAUAGAAUUUGGAU